GCCGAGGUGGCGGAACGGCAGACGCGCUACGUUCAGGGCGUAGUGUCCGCAAGGGCGUGCGGGUUCAAAUCCCGCCCUCGGCACCA
rnacentral:tRNA from 2 species